rnacentral:rRNA from 1 species
UACGUAGGGUGCGAGCGUUGCCCGGAUUUAUUGGGCGUAAAGGGCGCGUAGGCGGUCACGCACGUCCGUUGUGAAAUCGCUCGGCUCAACUGGGCGGGGUCAGCGGAUACGGUGUGACUGGAGCAAGCUAGGGGGCAAUGGAAUUCCCGGUGUAGUGGUGGAAUGCGUAGAUAUCGGGAGGAACACCAAUGGCGAAGGCAGCACUCUGGGACGUGACUGACGCUGAGACGCGAAAGCGUGGGGAGCGAACAGG